rnacentral:rRNA from 1 species
ACGGAGGGUGCAAGCGUUGUUCGGAUUUAUUGGGCGUAAAGCGAGUGUAGGCGGUUUAGAUAGUCGGAUGUGAAAUCCCAGGGCCCAACCCUGGAACUGCAUCCGAUACUUCUAGGCUAGAGUCCCGGAGAGGGUGGCGGAAUUCCCGGUGUAGGGGUGAAAUCCGUAGAUAUCGGGAGGAACACCAGUGGCGAAGGCGGCCACCUGGACGGUGACUGACGCUCAGACUCGAAAGCGUGGGUAGCAAACAGG